UACGAAGGGUGCUAGCGUUGUUCGGAAUUACUGGGCGUAAAGCGCGCGUAGGCGGCUUUUCAAGUCAGGGGUGAAAUCCCACGGCUCAACCGUGGAAUUGCCCUUGAAACUGUGAAGCUAGAGUGUCGGAGGGGAUAGCGGAAUUGCUAAUGUAGAGGUGAAAUUCGUAGAUAUUAGCAGGAACACCGGUGGCGAAGGCGGCUAUCUGGACGACAACUGACGCUGAGGCGCGAAAGCGCGGGGAUCAAACAGG
rnacentral:rRNA from 1 species